GUCUCCCAUUUUGUGGCCAGAUUAACACUCUGUGUAACCUGAAUGCCUUCUCACUGAAAAGGCAUGAACUGGCACCACUGCAGCCCUGGGCUUCAUCUCUCCCAGUGACGCCAUAGUGAAUCACUGUGAGGCUAGCUACAGACUCGGUGGGGGCAUUCCAGGGGCCGUUAUUACCGUUAAUCAAUUAGGAAGAGUUAAGAAUUUCUGAAUAUAUGCCAAAUGCAGUGCUGGUCAUUUUUUUGACAUCAGUAGGACAUACUUGAGAUAAAUUUGACAUCUGUCAAUAAAUUAGUAUUUCACCAAGCAAACUACUUAGAAAAAAAUUGGAAAUUUACGGACAUUGAAAUGCACUUUAGAAAUCCAGAAACUUUAUAAAGGAGAACUCCUUAAUACUAGUCUAUUUAAGUUAUAUUUUAUUAUGAGUAUUUAUUUAUUGAGCAAUGACUACAUCACAUAUGUUGUAUACAAGAUAGGGCAGAAUUAAUUUAACUGUAUAGAACAAACUAAAUUUGUAUUAUCCAAAGAAAAUCUACAACUUGAAGUAAUUACUUUUGUUGGAGACAGAUUCUUUAUUGUGAAAAUAAUUAAACAAACAAACAAACACCAUCAGAGAAUGUGAGUUAACAGUCAGGAAACUGGGAGAAAUGGAGAAUGCAUUUUAAAAGUCCCACCUUCCCACAUUUCAUGUAAUGGCUAAUUAAACAUAUGGAAUACAUUAUCUGAACCACAAAUUAAUGUGUUUGGAUAGGGUAGGAGCAAACAAAUGAAAAUGAAGGAAAGCUAUGCAAUUGGAAUCCAGGCAUGAUGUGGACAAGCUCUGCUGGGCACCAGCAUUUGGUUCAUGUUUGAAAAAAUUACAUUAGAACACUUAAAAGCAACAUCUUGCUUAGAGGAUUCUCCUUUUCAAGAGAAAAAUUGAAGUUGGCAAAGCUCGGAUAACAAUAUAUACUAGUAUUAUUGAUGGCCAAAAAUAAGAGGAAAGGAAAUUACACCACUGAUUUAUUCCAAUACAUUUAAACUUUCUGGACAGUUUCCACAUGUUAAAAAGGACAUUGGUGAGCAUCUACAGGUAUCUUAUUAAGCAUUGUGCUGCCUCUCAAUAUAGUUAUUUACAGAAAGACUGGCCUUUAAAAAUAUAUUUUGCCUAUGGGGAAAAUUGAGACUGGACCUACAUGAUGCCAAUGGUACUUAUAGAAAAUUAAAACUCCUCAAUUGUUGGAAAAGAUAUUUUAUAUCAUACAUGUAUGUAUUUUCGAAACAAGUUGCUUCCUUGUCUUAGAGUCUUGUGGGUACAGGCUUGGCUCCCACUGUAGACUAACCAGGUGAUGAAAAUGAGAACUCCCAACUCUGAGUUACCCGUCCAUUACUCAGCCUGCUAGGCCACGCUGCCUCUCCCCAGCAACUCUCCCUAUCUAUUAUAUACAUAUAUACAAUUUAGACUGAGCAUGCUGGGUGGCUUAACUAAUGAUUGCAGACCACUUUGGAAAUAGAAAAUACCCUGUGUGCACAGAACUAGUAAUGAUUAGAUAACAGACUGUCCUAAAUUUUACAUUUAAUUCAAACAAACCUUUUCUUGAUGAAAGUUUUGCUAUUAAACAAAAGACUUUUUUUAUACUAGAGGUUUUCACGGUAUUUUCAUUUGAGUUGAAUUUCUGUUCUUCAGACCCAUAUUUCUGCCAAUUUCUAUCUCUUGUGCUUUCUCUGGCACAACUGAAAGAACAAAGUUAAUAACAGAGAAAGGACAAGCUUUAAAAAGUGCUGCAUUUAUCGUCGGUUGUAAUUCUGCUAUUAAAUGGUCUUGGCAUUUGGGAAAUUCUUCUCAAUCUUGCUUUUUUUCUUAGAGGUAAAAAAUGGAAAACAUGGAAUUUAUACUAAAAAUAAUCCUCUAUCUUCUGCGUUCUCAGUCUUUACCUCUUUGCAUUCAGUGUGUGACCUCCUACCUCUAUAAGAUAGUGUGCAAGAUGAGUACCAAGCCUUUGCUUCCCCUUAACUUUUCUAGAAGUAACACACAUGCACGUCCUCACACACACACACAUACACUCACAAUUUGUGUAGAAUUAUUUUUCACUCUGAUUUCUGCCUGUGGAACAGAUUGAAGAUUUUACCAUCCAAAACCCACAAAGAGAAAACUCCUACUGUGGUCUUCAGAAUUUCCAUUCAGCUGAUUUGCCUGCCAAGUCCAGUGACCAGUACCGCCGCUCCUGAUGGUGGGGAGCAUAUGGUACUGCUGUGAAUAGUUUUGCUCUCACUGCUGUGAAAUCCCACGCCUUCCUACAGAAUGUGUUUGGAGGAGCAAAUGGUAAGUGUCGCUAUUCAGCAUAGCUCUGUCUCUGCCUAUGGAACCCAGUCUUUUAAACAACAAAAUGAAGAUAACUGCAAGUCUUCACAGGCCCUGGUUUAGUGUUAGGCUUCAGGGUUAAUGGUCACCUGUUAACUGUUUCUUCUUCCCAGGAGAGAGGAUUAUCUUUUACACAUCCUGGAUUUACCAGGAUGCAUAAUGGUAAACCAACCAUCCAUCAUUUUUGUUUGUUUGUUUCAAUCCUCCUCUUCCUCUUUCUUCUCCUCCUUCUAAAAAAAUCAUCUUAAAGUGGGACACAAUUUCUAAGUUAAAUUGGGGCUCUGAAAAGAGCACUAGACUUGGAGUUAGGAAGUCUGGAAUAUCAAACACUAACUAGCCUUGUAACCUUGGGCAAAUUUAUUCUGUGCCUCUUCUGUGAAACAGAUGGUGCAGGCCCUGAACGUCCCUUCCAGUUCCAAGAUUAUAUGUGUUUGUGUAGUCCAACUCCACCCCACUCCCAACCUCAUCUCCCAGAAAGUCUUUCUCUACCAUUCAAAAUAAAUUGUUAUUUUUCAUUUUAUAAUGCAGCUUUCAAGAACUUAUGGGGUGGCUUGCUUCUGGGUUUGUUCAUCUCCACUGUCAAGUGGUUCUUCUGUAUGUUUAGCAAAACCCUGUCCCACUGUGGUGUAAGGCUGUUUUUUUUUUUCCUCCUCUGGUUUUUGUGAAAACAGAGAACAAUCCUUUGGAAUUUGCUUAUAGUAAUAGUUUUUCUUGUUUGUACUGUUACUUAAGUUGCUCUUUUAUGUUGUGGCCCUUAAAUGUGUCUUCUAAUAUUCUUAUUGUCUCUUCUCCCCUGUUUUGCCAACGCAUACAUGUGCUGGCUGAGAGGCUAGGGUGGGGCCAUUUGGGGGCCUAAGUUUGAUAUAAUGUGUGCCACAUCGGCUGGUGUGCAACUGAAGGGAGGAGGGAGCAGGCGUUCCUCUGCUGCUGAAGAGGGCUGUGGAAACUUAAGUCAUAGACAUGCUUCAGUGAGAGGAUGAGGAUUUGCCCAGAUGGGAAGCUUCAAGUGCAGAGGCACUUGUACAUCUACUUAUCUUGAGUCUCAAUGAUGCUGUUUAUGAGUGAGCUAUUCAAAUGGAGGAAGAAACCCACGGAGAAGGAGAAAUAACAGGUCGGAGUGAUUAUGUACAGAAGGAUAGGCUCUAGCAGGAGUCCAGUGGGAAAGAAGGAAGGGAAUACAAUUAAGAAUUAUUAAUGGCAGAUCUCUAAUGAUUUCACUGGAUCCAAAGGAACAGGGCAAUACUGAGUAAGAAACACUUGAUAUACGAAAAAAGCGUGAGUGCGAAGGAAAAUACAUCAUUCUACAGAUGUUGACGGACUCUGACGGUGGGAAAGCGUCCCUCAAGAUUGAAUUGGAGUAGAAGCUGACCCUCCCACUUGCCCAGAGAUCCCCUAGCUGGAUACGAUUUCAGCAAUAGAACACUUGAUCAUCACAGUGCUUGGCAUAUACUUUCCUGAUCAAUUUCAUCACACAAGCUGGCAGCUAUGGGCAGUGAGGGAAGGAAGGGGCAAUCUCCUCACUAGACAGCCGUGCCAAGGUCACCCUGGUCCAUCCAUGAG
rnacentral:lncRNA from 1 species